GCCAGAGUGGUGCAGUGGUUUGAGCGUUGGACUUCAAUUCUGAUGAUCAGGGUUCAAAUUUCUGCUUGGCCA